AGAGGUUCUAGAUACUUCUAACACGAUGAUUAGUUAGAUGGCUCCAUCCACUUGAUGAACAAGCACUGGAGUAGACUCCUCUUCAUCAACCACUUCAUCUUAAAUCUUCACUCUUUAUUUUGGGAGCUCUACAUGAAAUGACAUGAUCAUGGAUGCUUAUGCUUAUGUAGUUAGCAAAUAAGGUAUUGUAAAGCAUUACAUGAUUACACCUACAAGCUAUCAUCAUAAAUAAUAGCUACCAGGGAGCUACUUAUCCUUAGAACUCCUCUAAUCAUCCUUUACUAAGACAUAAGGUGCCUUAAUUACCGAGGCGUAAAACUCUUUUUCUUUACUGAGCAAUAAUUAAUUUACUAAGCAAAUCUUGUCCAAACAGUUCCAAACUUUACACAAUUUUUAGUGCUCUAUUUUUAUUACUAUAAUUCAUAUAAUCCUAUUAAAACCAAGUUUCAAUUAUCCAAAAUUAAGUACUUGCCUGAGAACCCCUAAAUCUAUUUUUAACCUAGAGAACCCAUCUUCGUGAGUGUAACAUAAUUUACCUUACAAUUGUUACUUCUUUAUGUAGCUCUAGGCAAAAUUCGGAAAGUCUAUCUUAUCAGACAAAUGAAAAAAUUGAUUAAUCCAAUUUGGACCUGGCUCGACCAACACGGUCUACUGCGCCACGCAAAACCAGCCUACGACGGCCAACAACAAACCAUCCUAAAUCCUAAUCCCUAGCCAGCCACAACAUGGCGAGCACCAUAUCGACAAACAUGACUAUGACAAACGUGCUAAAUUGAUUUGAAACAGCAAAAUAAAAAUCAGGAUCGACGACAGCUCACCACUAGGUAGGAAGUAGGGAGCACCACAUAGCAACGCAGCAGGACAACGAUUUGUCGAAGUUCCAAAAGACCAAGACGUUGUAACGGCGAGGUGAAACUCACGACGCCGAAUCCGUAAAGCGAUGGCGAGGAGGCGAGCGCCUAGACCGACGACGAGCUUGCUGCAGCACAUUGAGCGACGUCGAUUCGAACACGAGGACAUGAAAGUACGCGUCCGCCGCCGGUCUAAGCUGGAGUGGAGGUUGGCGUGGCUGAUUGAAAACAUCGGCAGAGGACUCGACGAGCACAGCCAAGGCGAGAACACCGGCGAGGUGGCUGGGGAACGACGCCCAGGGAGCCGCCACGGCGUGAAGGAGUUUACCGCGAGCACCUGAGGGCAGUGCCGAGCUGAUGGAGGAACUAGCCACCGAGCUUGCCUGAUGGAAGGAGCUACGCGUGCGAGUGUCAAGGCAAGCACUGAGGACACCAAGCGCAUAGCAAGAGAAGGGCUCGAUCGAUGUCCAGACUUUACCGGGUGUUUGGCAGCUGCUGCACCAGCGUUGGGGAGGAGGAGAGGGAGAUGACGCGGAGGAAGGAGUAUUGAGAGCCGAGCGUUUUGGACUUCCAGAGAGCUAGCGUGAGGACUAGAGGUUUCCAAAGGAGUGAUCGUGCUUUGGCUAGGAAGUAGGAGGUGGCGUUGAAGUAAGAUCACCCGAGACUGACGCGUGCACGCAGGGAUAGAAGAUGCUAGGAGAUUGCAGCGUAUGGUAGAUAAGGAGGACUGAACGUGGGAGGAAAAAAACAGGAUCUUUUUUCCUUCUUCCAUUUUUGUACCCUUUCAUUUACCACCUAUUUAGACCUCUAUCGAAUACUGCAGCUCAAACUGGCACUAGUGAGUAGGGGUGGUAAUGGAUCACGAUCCAAAUGCUUCUUCACAAAAAGUUAAGGCCCUCAAAUAAUAUUAGUUCAAAAAUGAAUAAGAAUAAGGCCCGAUCCUAAUCCGAUUCGACCCUUAAAAUUUGCAGUGUAAAGUUUAUAGCCCAUUACCACCCCUACUAGUGAGACACAACAGAGACGUGGGAUAUUUUCUUCUCCCCAAAAACCAAAGCAAGUUUCAGCCAUCUAAACAGGGUUCAGUGCACAUCUGCUUGACGGACCGAUUUAAAGCAAGGUUUUCUCCCAACCCAUGCUAUAGCAAGUCGACCUCCGUUAAUAAAACUUGUUGACAAAAUAUAGCUCUAUAAACUCGCUGCAACAUCCUAAGUUCGAAAGAUAACAAAUUAAGAGAUAUAGUGCUCCAAAGUUAGGUGAAAAUACUGCAGCUCGGCUUCAGCUGACUGAAUCUGAAACUGCACAUCACACGCCUGACAGUGAAAGUUCAAGCACAUUUUACUCCACUUUUCAUGCAGCAUCAGGCCAUACACACUUCAACAAACUUGCUCAUCAUUAUAUGUUCUUUAAGUUUUCUAUAGAGACUACAACCCAUAACUCCAUGGAUUAGUGAAAAGAAAGCUCCAAAGUUGAGCAAAAUUCACUAAAAUUCAGUUUCAGUGAACUGAACUAAGUCUGAAACUCAGAGUUUGACGACAUGUUUUUGGACACCAUUUUCUCCCAUUUCUAGAAACGAUCAGGGGGAUUCACCUUAAUGAAAAUUACUCAUCACACUACGCUCUAACAGUUUUCUACAGAUAGUGCAGGCCAUAACAUUAGGGAUCAGUCACAACAGAGCUCUAAAAUUUGGUGAAUAAUGCUGAAACUGCACUUCAACUUACUGAACAAAUUUCAGAACAACAGAAUCUGACAGCAAGGUUUUGAGCCUCUUUUGCUCUCCGUUCCAUACUGUUUUAGGGCUACCACAUUUAAUAAACAUUGUUCUCCUAUAGUUACUCUACAGGUUUGUUAUAGCAAUCGUUCCGAAAAUACUCAUGGAUUAAAAGUUAUAGGGGUCCAAAAAUAGAUAAAGAAAAUUGUUUUGGGCAGAUUCCAACUGACCCAAAUCUGAACUUUUGCAAAUUACUUCAAAUUCUCCCACGUCACUUGGACAGCUCCAAAUAUGAAAAAUGUUCACUUUUCCAAGCUCCACAAUUUUGAUAUAUGAACUUUUAGCAAAACAUAGCUAGAUCUUAAAAUCCACUUUUGGGCUAGUUUAGAGUUGAAAUUGGACUUGAUCUGCUUCAAGUGCUUCAUCAAUUUAUUGUAUCCUACUAAAAACAAGGUUAACCAUAAGCUCAAACCCAACUUUGGUGUAUAGAGAUCAUGUACAAAUUUCUAUUGGUUUAAAAGUUGCUUGUUUGUACUAGAUUUCAAACAAGGUCUGUGAACUUCUCUUGCUCUCUUCGAAACGACAUAACCUCACCCUUUUCUCUAAGUUCCAAAUGCUUCUGAGGCCAAGUUGCUUAAUCAAAUUGGUGCUCUACAUGUUGCUCCACAAGUUUGGUACAAUGACCAUUAGCUUGAAUCAUAUGGAUUCCAAACCAUCGAAGCCCAAAAUUGGCAUUAAACACACAAAUUCAGACUUUGAUUUUUCACUAAGUCUGAAAAUCCAGAAUUAAACACUACAUUUUUGGACCACUGGUUCUACUAGUUCCAAAUAGUUUCAGGGGUAUGAACCUUAACCAAACUUAUACCCCAACACGUGGUCUUCCACUUUGGUACAUAAACUGUAACCCAUAGCUGUAUAGAUCAGCCACCAACAGGCUUCCAAAGUUGCUUCAGCAUAUAAAAUCUUCAGUUUCAGAUAUUGCAGUCUGAAAUUCAGAUUCUGACAUUCCCACUUUGGACCAGUUUUCCACCUAGUUACAUAGGAAUUUAGGGUUAAGUAGCUUAAACAAAAUUACACAUCUAGUGUAGCUCUACAGCUUUGCUACUGUGACCAUCUUCAAAUUGCCUAUAUAUCAAAAGUUAUGAAGAUUCGAAGACAGCUACUUGAUAUUGUUUCGAGCCAUCCAACCUUAGUCCAAAAAGUUAAUUUUUUAGUUUUCUCCACUUCUUCCUAUAAAACAUGGAAAUCUCUAUACCUGAAAGUUGUUUGGGUUGGAGAACUCUAUAACUUUGGUAAUUUGACCUUUUGGCAAAUUAUUGCCAAAUCACAAGUUCCACUUUUGGAGCUCUAAACUUAGAUUUUCAAAACCAGGUCCUUCACUCUUCACUAACCACAACAUCAUACUUAGAUUAUUUUGGAUCCUAGUGAAUGCAUUCUAAGUGUAUCAAGCAAGUUAAUGUGAGUGCAUAUGAUGACAUGUCAAGUUUUUAGUUCUCGUAACACCAGUGGUAUUACAUCCUUCCCCUUAAAAAGGAAUCUCGUCCCGAGAUUAAAAUUCUAGGCCAAGUAAUAGAAAAGGAAAUGUGUCACCGGUUUAUUUCUCAGUUACUCCUACAAGGCACGGGGUGUGCCCCCAUCGAAAGACAACUUAUACAAACCUAGGGUUUACAAGACACUAGGAACUCAGGAAUAUACUUUUCCAAAUACUUUUCUGACUACUAUGUGACUUUAUCUUUCGGGUGUUAGUUCCACUGUAUCUUGUAAAACUCAAUAACUUUUCUUCGAGUGACCCAAUCCUUUUGAUCUAACACAUUUAUGGGAUACUCCGAGGAGGUUAAACCUGGUUUAUGGUUAACAUCUGAAAUCUCAAUACCAUAUUUGGGGACUCGAAGACAUUUCUUCCAUUGGGACACGUGGAACACGUCGUGCAGUGUUGAAGGUCCAUUUGGCAACUGUACCUUAUAAGCUAUAGGUCCACCAAAAUCUCUGUUUCAAACCUUGGUACUUAUUGCUACCUUUAGGGUGAAUGGAGUCUCGGACUGCAACCCAAUCGCAAUUCCACAUCCCUUUCUAGAGGCAACUAGACAAAUCUUCGGGGAACACAUCCGAGAACUCCCUCACACCAGGUAUAUCCUUUACUUCCUUCACUUAAAUUCCUGAUGUAGACAAAUCUUAUUAUUUCCUAAAAUAGCAUGACUGACAACCUCCUUAUAACCUUCAACCAAACUAGUUGCCAUUAGGAGCUAAAGUUUCAUAUUAAGAUCACGUAGGAUGUAUUACUUUUUUUCUCGCUGGCAUCCACAUAGUCCAAAACAUACUAGGAUACACGAGUAAACCUCUCAAAUAGUCCAUUACACUCACUUCUUCACCUUGUUUUAGAUCCAAAAACUCUUUGAACUUUAUUUACAUAGGGGCUUCUGAAAUAUGAUGUGCCCGAAAUACCUCACGGAACUCAACUCGAGAACUUAACAUCCUUCAGGCUGCAACGCAAGGUAUUCUACCCUCCAACUGAACUUGGCUUCCCGUCUUCAAAAAUAGGGAAAGGUAGUAUAGAAAGGCAAAGACAGGUAUCAUGAACAGGGUAGACGAAACACAUACUAAAGCUACUACAUAGGGGGUUUAACUUAAAGUUAUAUGUCAUGAUGCAUGCUCGUCCUAUUCGUCCUCACAAUCUUGCCAGCAUAUAGUGGCUUGCACGCUCUAUGGAGGUGGCGUACCUACUCACUCCAGAGUUAACUAGUCGUAAUUUCCUAGAGUUUAGUUAGUGUACCUGCAGAAAAUUCCAUUACAGCCCAAACCCCAUGAUGCAAUUCACACAUUUGGUCACAGUUUAUACUCCAUAUAUUUCUAUAUGGAGGCCAGCUCCUCAUUAAGCGCCCAGCCACGCAUAGGCGCCGCUGCCACACUUUUAACCACAGGGCAGCCCAUUGUGGUAACUUACUUUCUUACCUGCUCGUAGGUGCGUCGUUACAAGUACAUUACACUUUUCAGUAUUCCAAUGUCUGUAUACCCAUACACAUCCAUGGGGUACUGAAUUCCUAGAAAAAUAAUUAAUCCACAAUGCAACCUUCAUAUAUACAUAUGUAGAAUAUGUAUAUAGUCUAGUGCCACAUUUAAGCACUCCCCUAGACCGACGUUUGUUCGGUCAUGCUCUCACAACUCACCUUUACCUGAGCGUCGAUCCAUUCAAAACAGAAUGACCCCAAAAUAACAUUACACAUGCAUGCAGUUCCCUACCCUGUUGUGGGUUAGUGGUUAGCAUCUUAAACUAGACCACCUUAUAGUCCUUAGUUUUAACCACAUACUAUUUGCACUUCUACUAUCAGGCUUUGCUUAUCCAUUAUUAAGUUUUUCCAAAGUAAUUUGGACUCAAAAUUAUUUUGAAGUUUAUCAAAGGAUUACUUUAAUAUCCAUGCUAAUGGGGAAUCGCUCCGAUACCACGCUGUGACAGCCCUCCCAAGUUAUCAGGCCGACAUGCACGAACCCUUGCCAUUAAUGGCCUCAUAUGGCUGUGCACGUGUACCGGGUAACUUAACAAGGCUAUCGAGUUCACCAACUAGAACUCAUCAUCCCAAGGAUCUCCCACAUUCAUGCAUAUUACAGUAAUCACACUCGAUACACACACACUUCGGAGAUAGAGCAGAAGACUUUACAAAACAUAUUUUACAUUUCCAAAGCUCAAGUUUUACAACAUAAGAAGAAUGGUAAUUAUUACAAGUCCUGAUAGUACCCAAAGUGCAUAACUUAUUACAAUAAUUGGAAGGGUGAAGCCUUUCCAUAAGAGAUAUAUAAAAACCAUGUAAGCUUCAAGUCCUCCACAUGAAGUAACUAACCCAAAGAUAAGGGAAUAAAACUUCUCCUACAAAAACAACAAGGGAUAAAACCCUGAGUUCGCAAUUACUCAGAAAGACUUACCCGACUAAAGAAAAGACUCUCAAGGGUAUGUUGGCUUUUGGGAAUCAAGGUAAAGCUCAUCAAAGUUCAAGGACUCAUUUUGCAGAAAAGCUUACUAGAAGUGGAUCCUUAAGCCAAGUUUUAUUUCACAAGUUAUUUUAUUACUUGAAUCUUCUAGCCUGAAUCUAGCAUUUUCCUAAUCUGAUCAUUCACUUGACCUACACUAGGUUGCUUUUAAAAUCCAAAUUUUGUUUCGCUUGUUAUCUACGAUGAAGGGCAGCGAUCCAGUCUUCAUAUCCGAGAUGUAACGGCGAUCCGAAUCGAUUAAUACCCAGCUAGGGAUCUCCAACCACACGACAUAUGUAGUAGCACUUAACCCUUGCAUAUGUCAACCAUUCCCACGGAUCCUCCACUACAUGAACUGGUCUGCGCUACCCGGGAGCACAUUACCCUACCAUUCAGCUUCUUGCCAGGAGGGUAACUGCUAUUCCCACCAUCUCCCACGCCCAGUGCGCGGUUGUCUUUUCACGUAUGGAAUAGGCAGGUUCAGGCUUACCCAUGACGAGGUAUGUGGCAAGUUAAAAGGUCCUAGAUCAUCAGGCCAACAAUCAGUACGGUCCUUAAUCGACACAGACGGGCGACCUUUCCUGCUCAGCGUCUGGUCCCAUUUUAAACCAUUUCAAAAUUUUGGUGCCUCGCAGAGGGGCCAUGCUGGAUAAUGAAUUUAUCAACGUCUUGAUGCCUUCAUUAUCCCAAGCCCAUUUCUUUUUGUAAAACAUGAGUCAUAGAUCAAAAAUAUUUUUUUAGUCUAUCAGCAUGACUAAGCAUCUCUAGCUUUUAUAAAACAUGUGACAAGGUGUGGUAAUCAACGUUUCAAGGAUGGUAAUGCAUCAAGGGUUCAAUCAAUCAACUCCUAUAACCUAAUGCAGCAUAUAAGUGAUAAAAAUUUUGUAAACACAAGGAAUGUGGGAAAUGCACCGGGGCUUGCCUUUGUUGCAGAGAAGAGGUUCUAGAUACUUCUAACAUGAUGAUCAGUUAGAUGGCUCCAUCCACUUGAUGAACAAGCACUGGAGUAGACUCCUCUUCAACAACCACUUCAUCUUAAAUCUUCACUCUUUAUUUUAGGAGCUCUACAUGAAAUGACAUGAUUAUGGAUGCUUAUUCUUAUGUAGUUAGCAAAUAAGGUAUUGUAAAGCAUUACAUGAUUACACCUACAAGCUAUCAUCAUAAGUAAUAGCUACCAGGGAGCUACUUAUCCUUCGAACUCCUCUAAUCAUCCUUUACUAAGAUAUCAGGUGCCUUAAUUACCGAGGCGUAAAACUCUUUUUCCUUUAUUGAGCAAUAAUUAAUUUACUAAGCAAAUCUUGUCCAAACAGUUCCAAACUUUACCCAAGGGUUCAUAUGCUCAAGAUAAGCUUACACAAUUUUUAGUGCGCUAUUUUUAUUACUAAAAUUCAUAUAAUCCUAUUAAUACCAAGUUUUAAUUAUCCAAAAUUAAGGACUUGCCUGAGAACCCCUAAAUCUAUUUUUAACCUAGAGAACCUAUCUUUGUGAGUGUAACAUAAUUUACCUUACAACUGUUACUUCUUUGUGUAGCUCUAGGCAAAAUUCGGAAAGUCUAUCUUAUCAGACAAAUGAAAAAAAACUGAUUAAUCCAAUUUGGACCCGGCUCGACCAACACGGUCCGCUGCGCCACGCAAAACCAGCCUGCGACGGCCAACAACAAACCAUAUGUGACAUCCCAGGUGUCUAUUUCGUGUUAUGUCGGGAGAUUUAUCCUAAUCUCGGAUGCUUAGUAAAAAUUUCUAUUUCUCGCUCGCGUAUGUCUCUGAUUAUCCAGACUAUUCAUUCACAUUUCAUCGAAUUCGAAAUUAUUCAGUCUCGCAGAAAGCCGAAUUUGGGGCCUGUUAAAACUUUUAUUUCUCGACACGAAUGCCAACUCGUUAAUCAUUUUCGAUUUAUAAAAUCUCGUCUAAAGCUCAUUUAAUCAAAACUCUUGACUAUUGUUAGUGGAUCUGUGCCCGAAUCCAAUUCCUCGAACUUCGAUCGAUGUCCGACUAUUUUAAUUCGAGUCCAUACUCUCAAACGGAAUACUCAAUAUGUCGUCCUCUAAUCAUUUUUAUCCGACUCGGACAAAUAUCUUGUGUCUAAACCGAAUUGAAAACCCAAUCCGACCGCGAUUGUAAAAUGUCACGAUUCGUCUUCUCCAACUAAAAAUCCGAAAGCCGGUCGUAUCUCAAGACGAUUUUAUUUCGAAUCAUGCGUAGGGAAUUAUUUUCGAGCGAGAUCAGAUCAGACUCUCGGACGAGUUAAUCGCUCAAUCGUCCGUUCGUCGGAACUCUAAUUUGCUCCGUUCUCCGUAGAGACGAAUUCCGCAGGAGCAAAAAUUGUAUCUUCGGCACGAACAAAAGCAGCAAUAAUUCUUAAGAAGGAACAACUCGUGUUAUUUAAUUUUAAUCCGAGCUAUGAGGUUCUAAUUCAAGAGCAUGUUGUCAAGACACAAUUUUUCUCCGAGCAACGUCGACUUGAAUCUCUGUCAGAUUUGCCACGACAUUCAUUUGUCGUGAUCUCAUAUAGUUCGAAACACAUCGACAAUUAAUUUUAGUUGAGAGUUUAAAACCUAGUUUCCUUAAUUAGUUAUUUU
rnacentral:lncRNA from 1 species